UAGGGAAUCUUCGGCAAUGGACGAAAGUCUGACCGAGCAACGCCGCGUGAGUGAAGAAGGUUUUCGGAUCGUAAAACUCUGUUGUUAGAGAAGAACAAGGACGUUAGUAACUGAACGUCCCCUGACGGUAUCUAACCAGAAAGCCACGGCUAACUACGUGCCAGCAGCCGCGGUAAUACGUAGGUGGCAAGCGUUGUCCGGAUUUAUUGGGCGUAAAGCGAGCGCAGGCGGUUUCUUAAGUCUGAUGUGAAAGCCCCCGGCUCAACCGGGGAGGGUCAUUGGAAACUGGGAGACUUGAGUGCAGAAGAGGAGAGUGGAAUUCCAUGUGUAGCGGUGAAAUGCGUAGAUAUAUGGAGGAACCACAGUGGCGAAGGCGGCUCUCUGGUCUGUAACUGACGCUGAGGCUCGAAAGCGUGGGGAGCAAACAGG
rnacentral:rRNA from 1 species